rnacentral:rRNA from 1 species
GAUUAACGCUGGCGGCGUGCAUAACACAUGCAAGUCGAACGAAGUAGCGGACGGGUGAGUAACGCGUGAGUAACCUGCCUUAGAGAAGGGGAUAGCCUUUGGAAAAGAAGAAUAAUACCCUAUGCUCUAAGAUGGACUUGCGUCUGAUUAGUUAGUUGGUGGGGUAACGGCCCACCAAGACAGCGAUCCGUAGCCGGCUUGAGAGAGUGGACGGCCCUAUUGGGACUGCGAAACGGCCCAGACUCUACGGGAGGCAGCAGUGGGGAAUUUUGCACAAUGGGGGAAACACUGAUGCAGCGACGCCGCGUGAGUUAGAAGGCCUUCUGGUUGUAAAAAUCUUUUCUAUGGGAAGCAGUACCAUAGGAAUAAGGACCGGCUAAUUACGUGCCAGCAGCCGCGGUAAUUC